GAUACUAUCAAUCUUGAGUACACUUGAAGUGGGCGGAAUGUGUCAUGUAGCGGUGAAAUGCAUAGAUAUGACACAGAACACCGAUUGCGAAGGCAGCUCACUAAAUUGUAACUGACGCUGAGGCACGAAAGCGUGGGGAGCAAACAGGAUUAGAUACCCUGGUAGUCCACGCUGUAAACGAUGAUCACUAGCUGUUGGCGAUACACUGUCAGCGGCUGAGCGAAAGUAUUAAGUGAUCCACCUGGGGAGUACGAUCGCAAGGUUGAAACUCAAAGGAAUUGACGGGGGCCCGCACAAGCGGAGGAGCAUGUGGUUUAAUUCGAUGAUACGCGAGGAACCUCACCUAGGCUUAAAUGCUUUUUGACCGUCCUGGAAACAGGAUUUCCCUUCGGGGCAAAUUGCAAGGUGCUGCAUGGUUGUCGUCAGCUCGUGCCGUGAGGUGUCGGGUUAAGUCCCAUAACGAGCGCAACCCCUAUUCUUAGUUGCCAUCAGGUAAUGCUGGGAACUCUAAGGAAACUGCCUACGCAAGUAGUGAGGAAGGUGGGGAUGACGUCAAAUCAGCACGGCCUUUACGCCUAGGGCUACACACGUGCUACAAUGGCCAGCAUAGUGGGUUGCUACCUGGUAACAGGAUGCUAAUCUCUAAAUCUGGUCUCAGUUCGGAUUGAAGUCUGCAACUCGACUUCAUGAAGUUGGAUUCGCUAGUAAUCGCGCAUCAGCAAUGGCGCGGUGAUACGUUCCCGGGCCUUGUACACACCGCCCGUCAAGCCAUGGAAGCUGGGAGUGCCUGAAGUCUGUAACCGCAAGGAGCGGCCUAAGGGUAAAACCUAGUAACUNGGGGCUAAGUCGUNNANCAAGGUACNUCUAGG
rnacentral:rRNA from 1 species